rnacentral:lncRNA from 1 species
AAAAACUGUUUCUUUUUCAAGCUUGGCAACUCUCUUGGAUUCAAAUGGGCCAAACUGGGUACGUUUCACUAGCUGAGUCAAAGCAAAUACUCCUUCAGUCCCAUCUUCCAACUGUCUUAUCUCCAAAUUAGAAGGCAGAGAUGAUCUGGCCCUGCUCAACACAAAGGAAUCUUUGACUGUCACCACUGGGCCCAGCUCAGGGCACUCUGAAUCAUGGUACUGCCCACAGUCCUCGCACCAAACAAACAUAGUCUCAUCACUGCCAUCUUCAGCCAUUUUUUAAACCUGCC